CUCCUUCCCUCUCUCUGCAGCCAUGGUUGCCAAGGAAGCUUUUCGUCGUUUCCAACCCAUCUCAAAGUGCAGCACUGAUGAACGGCAAAACCAAACCGUCGUUUCCGACUUAGACGGCACCCUUCUCGUGUCGCGAAGCGCUUUCCCUUACUACAUGCUCGUCGCUGUCGAAGCCGGAAGCUUCCUCCGAGGACUCCUACUUCUCGUUUCAGUCCCCUUUGUGUAUUUAACCUGCCUGUUCGUCUCUGAAACUGUGGCAAUCAAAACUCUCAUCUUCAUCACCUUCGCCGGACUCAAGACCAGAGACGUGGAGCUCGUGUCGAGGUCGGUGUUGCCCAAGUUCUACGCCGGUGACAUCCACCCGGAGACUUGGCGGGUGUUCAGUUCUCUCGGGAAGAGGUACGUCGUGACGGCCAGUCCGAGGUUGAUGGUGGAGCCAUUCGCGAAGACCUUUCUAGAGGCAGAUAAGGUCAUAGGUACAGAGCUGAAAGUCACGAAAUAUGGGAAGACACUGACAGGGUUUGUUAAGGAACCAGGAGUGCUGGUUGGUGACCACAAGAAAGAAGCCGUUGUCAAGGAAUUUGGACAAGAAUUGCCAGAUUUGGGACUGGGGGACAGUGAAUCUGAUUGUCACUUCAUGUCAAUUUGCAAGGAAGGAUAUAGAGUGCCAAGAACAAAAUGUGAGCCACUACCCAGAGACAAGCUUUUAAGUCCCAUUAUCUUCCACGACGGUCGUUUUGCUCAGAGGCCAACCCCCUUUAUGGCACUUGUCACUUUCCUAUGGCUCCCUAUUGGCACCAUACUUGCCAUCUUAAGGGUAUACCUUAACAUCCCACUACCAGAAAGACUCGUUUGGUACAACUCCAAGCUUCUGGGCGUCAGAAUCCUUGUCAAGGGCACCCCACCCCCUCCCCCAAAGACCGGCCAAAGCGGUGUCCUUUUUGUCUGCAACCACCGUACCGUCGUGGAUCCUGUAGUUAUUGCAGUUGCUCUCAAGAGAAAAGUCAGCUGUGUCACCUACAGCAUAAGCAAGUUCAGUGAAAUAACAUCGCCAAUCAAAACCGUUGCUUUGUCAAGAGAAAGAGAGAAAGAUGCAGAGAAUAUUAAAAAACUGGUUCAGGAAGGUGACUUGGUGAUUUUUCCUGAAGGCACCACUUGCAGGGAACCAUUUCUAUUAAGGUUCAGUGCUCUUUUUGCUGAAUUAACCGAGAGGAUUGUUCCUGUGGCUAUUAACACGAAGCAGACUGUGUUUAAUGGGACCACAGUUCGUGGGCAUAAGAUUUUGGACCCUUACUUUGUGUUCAUGAACCCUAUUCCUACAUUUGAGAUCACUUUUCUGGACCAGCUUCCAGUUGAGCUCACAUGUAAGGGAGGCAAGUCCAGUUUUGAAGUUGCGAAUUACAUUCAGACAGUUCUUGCGGGGACGCUUAGGUUUGAGUGUACGAAUCUGACGAGGAAAGAUAAGUACAGCAUGCUAGCUGGAACAGAUGGGAGGAUUGCAUUAAAGAAGGAGAAGAAUGGGGAGAAGAAGACCGGAAAGCUUGAAAUUAAUUAAGUGUGAUAGCAGAUGGGGACAAGAGAAGGUAUUAUGUCCAGUUGGAGUGAGCAACGACAGGGAAGGCCUUUAAUUAUUAGUUUUUUUAAGAAGUUACAAGCGGUCGCGAAAACUUUGACUGAUUUUCUCUUUGCUCGUAUGCUCUGGGCCAGAAUAAUGAAUAUAAUAGUGAUUUUAGAGAUUAUUAUAUUGACGAAGUCAAGGUUGUGCUUUCGGCCUUUUGCUAUCAGAGUCAACAAGUUCACGCCCUUACGACUCCUUUCUCAGUUUCUCUCCGCGUCAAUUCUGAGACCCACAUUCCGAGAUACGAUUCUCUUGAGGUGUUGGGGGGGCGUUGAUUAAGGUUGUUUCGGAUAGCUGGGAAAGAACAGAGAAUGAGAGAUCUUGUGUAUCAUCAGUCCAGGAUUUGGAGAUAUGUGAGAAGUGUGUCAGUCAUAAAUGGCCUGGUUUGCUUUGGUCUCAGCUCCACCUACGAAAGAUCAUUUGGAAAGUGGGGUUUUGGCGACUCCUUGCUUAUCUAUUGGUGGGUUUAAUUAUGUGGUGCCUCAUCUGGCGGGCCAAGAGAAUUCGAGCUUCAAAUAAAGUCCAAUGUCUUGUGGCAGCCCUAAUUUUUGAUAUGAUCUGUUUGAUCUCGGUCCUGCAUGAUGAACUUGUGACUGCAAAAUCAGAGGCACUGAGCAUUAUCUCGUAUGGUUCAUUUGCCUUGAUG